GGGUGAUGUAUACUUAGUAUAUGUGAAUGUGUAAUUGAAAUUUGAAGCUUAGAAAUUAAUGGAAUGUAAUGCAUGAAUUGGCAGCCUGGUUGGGUGAACCAUAAGGAUGUUAUUUCAUGUUUGGAUUAUGGAAUGUUAAUGUUGAAUUGUGUUAGUUGUUGUGGCAGUUUGGGUAUAUGUAUGAUGGUGUGAAGUUGGACAUGUAAAUGAGCAUGAAUAGGUGAUUAAAUUAUUGUAAAUGAGUUUGACAAAUUCUGCACUUUUUGGGGUAUGUUGAAUGUGAUUGUAAGCUGCCAUAAUGACCUAUAAUACGUUGUGA
rnacentral:misc_RNA from 1 species